GAUUAAGUUAUUAAGGGCGCACGGUGGAUGCCUUGGCACUAGAAGCCGAUGAAGGACGUUACUAACGACGAUAUGCUUUGGGGAGCUGUAAGUAAGCUUUGAUCCAGAGAUCUCCGAAUGGGGAAACCCAGCAUGAGUUAUGUCAUGUUAUCGAUAUGUGAAUACAUAGCAUAUCAGAAGGCACACCCGGAGAACUGAAACAUCUUAGUACCCGGAGGAAGAGAAAGAAAAUUCGAUUCCCUUAGUAGCGGCGAGCGAAACGGGAAGAGCCCAAACCAACAAGCUUGCUUGUUGGGGUUGUAGGACACUCUAUACGGAGUUACAAAGGACGACAUUAGACGAAUCAUCUGGAAAGAUGAAUCAAAGAAGGUAAUAAUCCUGUAGUCGAAAAUGUUGUCUCUCUUGAGUGGAUCCUGAGUACGACGGAGCACGUGAAAUUCCGUCGGAAUCUGGGAGGACCAUCUCCUAAGGCUAAAUACUCUCUAGUGACCGAUAGUGAACCAGUACCGUGAGGGAAAGGUGAAAAGCACCCCGGAAGGGGAGUGAAAUAGAACCUGAAACCGUGUGCUUACAAGUAGUCAGAGCCCGUUAAUGGGUGAUGGCGUGCCUUUUGUAGAAUGAACCGGCGAGUUACGAUUUGAUGCAAGGUUAAGCAGUAAAUGUGGAGCCGUAGCGAAAGCGAGUCUGAAUAGGGCGUUUAGUAUUUGGUCGUAGACCCGAAACCAGGUGAUCUACCCUUGGUCAGGUUGAAGUUCAGGUAACACUGAAUGGAGGACCGAACCGACUUACGUUGAAAAGUGAGCGGAUGAACUGAGGGUAGCGGAGAAAUUCCAAUCGAACCUGGAGAUAGCUGGUUCUCUCCGAAAUAGCUUUAGGGCUAGCCUCAAGUGAUGAUUAUUGGAGGUAGAGCACUGUUUGGACGAGGGGCCCCUCUCGGGUUACCGAAUUCAGACAAACUCCGAAUGCCAAUUAAUUUAACUUGGGAGUCAGAACAUGGGUGAUAAGGUCCGUGUUCGAAAGGGAAACAGCCCAGACCACCAGCUAAGGUCCCAAAAUAUAUGUUAAGUGGAAAAGGAUGUGGCGUUGCCCAGACAACUAGGAUGUUGGCUUAGAAGCAGCCAUCAUUUAAAGAGUGCGUAAUAGCUCACUAGUCGAGUGACACUGCGCCGAAAAUGUACCGGGGCUAAACAUAUUACCGAAGCUGUGGAUUGUCCUUUGGACAAUGGUAGGAGAGCGUUCUAAGGGCGUUGAAGCAUGAUCGUAAGGACAUGUGGAGCGCUUAGAAGUGAGAAUGCCGGUGUGAGUAGCGAAAGACGGGUGAGAAUCCCGUCCACCGAUUGACUAAGGUUUCCAGAGGAAGGCUCGUCCGCUCUGGGUUAGUCGGGUCCUAAGCUGAGGCCGACAGGCGUAGGCGAUGGAUAACAGGUUGAUAUUCCUGUACCACCUAUAAUCGUUUUAAUCGAUGGGGGGACGCAGUAGGAUAGGCGAAGCGUGCGAUUGGAUUGCACGUCUAAGCAGUAAGGCUGAGUAUUAGGCAAAUCCGGUACUCGUUAAGGCUGAGCUGUGAUGGGGAGAAGACAUUGUGUCUUCGAGUCGUUGAUUUCACACUGCCGAGAAAAGCCUCUAGAUAGAAAAUAGGUGCCCGUACCGCAAACCGACACAGGUAGUCAAGAUGAGAAUUCUAAGGUGAGCGAGCGAACUCUCGUUAAGGAACUCGGCAAAAUGACCCCGUAACUUCGGGAGAAGGGGUGCUCUUUAGGGUUAACGCCCAGAAGAGCCGCAGUGAAUAGGCCCAAGCGACUGUUUAUCAAAAACACAGGUCUCUGCUAAACCGUAAGGUGAUGUAUAGGGGCUGACGCCUGCCCGGUGCUGGAAGGUUAAGAGGAGUGGUUAGCUUCUGCGAAGCUACGAAUCGAAGCCCCAGUAAACGGCGGCCGUAACUAUAACGGUCCUAAGGUAGCGAAAUUCCUUGUCGGGUAAGUUCCGACCCGCACGAAAGGCGUAACGAUUUGGGCACUGUCUCAACGAGAGACUCGGUGAAAUCAUAGUACCUGUGAAGAUGCAGGUUACCCGCGACAGGACGGAAAGACCCCGUGGAGCUUUACUGUAGCCUGAUAUUGAAAUUCGGCACAGCUUGUACAGGAUAGGUAGGAGCCUUUGAAACGUGAGCGCUAGCUUACGUGGAGGCGCUGGUGGGAUACUACCCUAGCUGUGUUGGCUUUCUAACCCGCACCACUUAUCGUGGUGGGAGACAGUGUCAGGCGGGCAGUUUGACUGGGGCGGUCGCCUCCUAAAAGGUAACGGAGGCGCUCAAAGGUUCCCUCAGAAUGGUUGGAAAUCAUUCAUAGAGUGUAAAGGCAUAAGGGAGCUUGACUGCGAGACCUACAAGUCGAGCAGGGUCGAAAGACGGACUUAGUGAUCCGGUGGUUCCGCAUGGAAGGGCCAUCGCUCAACGGAUAAAAGCUACCCCGGGGAUAACAGGCUUAUCUCCCCCAAGAGUUCACAUCGACGGGGAGGUUUGGCACCUCGAUGUCGGCUCAUCGCAUCCUGGGGCUGUAGUCGGUCCCAAGGGUUGGGCUGUUCGCCCAUUAAAGCGGUACGCGAGCUGGGUUCAGAACGUCGUGAGACAGUUCGGUCCCUAUCCGUCGUGGGCGUAGGAAAUUUGAGAGGAGCUGUCCUUAGUACGAGAGGACCGGGAUGGACAUACCUCUGGUGUACCAGUUGUCGUGCCAACGGCAUAGCUGGGUAGCUAUGUGUGGACGGGAUAAGUGCUGAAAGCAUCUAAGCAUGAAGCCCCCCUCAAGAUGAGAUUUCCCAACUUCGGUUAUAAGAUCCCUCAAAGAUGAUGAGGUUAAUAGGUUCGAGGUGGAAGCAUGGUGACAUGUGGAGCUGACGAAUACUAAUCGAUCGAAGACUUAAUCAA
rnacentral:rRNA from 1 species